AGCCAGUAGGGCACUUGUAUUACUGUCUCUCUGGGCCAUGACUCACCAGCCCCAAUGAUAACAAUCCUUAGACCUUUGACAUGUUUUCAGGAUGCUUUUCUCUAUUGGUUCCACAAAGGAAGCCCUAAGACGUUGUCCAGCUUCUAAUUCUGCAAAGAACAGCUGGAAAACAUGAGGGCCGACUCAACAGCUGUGUGUUGGGAAUCAGGAGGCAUCCAGGACGAAGAUACCAUCUGGCUACAGCUGCUACCAAAAUGAGAAGCCAAUCCUCAGGCAAAGAGAAGCUUGAAGGAACUGGGAAAGUUGUUCCCGCACCUCCCCAACCCCACCGCCCAGUAGGAUCAUUCCAAGCUCCUGGAGACAGAGAGUUUCUUUCAUGUGACAAUGGAAGCCAGACGACAGACUCAGCUGGAUACUGACAGCCCUUCCUCCCUGGAAAGCCCCAGAACCUCUUUCAGUAGAAAACAACCACAAUAUUUCCAGCAGAUUCCAAAGAAAAUCCUGCCACUGCUUUGGCAUUGACCAAAAAUGUCACAUUCUAUCUAUAAAACCAAAGGCUUUCUUCCAACAAAUAGUUCCAAGAUGAAAGGGAGCCUUUUAUUUUUGCUGAUCUGCUCUGUCUUCUUGUUUUGGCUUGUUUAUAAACGUAGGCUUAACUGUAGACACCACAAUUUAUUAAUGCAUUUAACUAAAAACCAACUAUUUGUUAGGUACUAUGUUGGUCCAACAAUCAAAAAACAUUAACAAACAUAUUUAUAGGGAUUGCUAAUUGCCAAGUAUUAUUCCAAGUGACUAAACCAUGCUAACUUGUGCAGUCCUCAUAACAACCCCAAGAAGAAGGUACUGUCACUAUGCCUGUUUUACAGAUGGGGAAACUGAGGUCCAGAGCAAUUAAUUCAUUUGACCAAGUAAUAAGAGCCAGGAUUCUAACCAAGGCUCUGGCUUGGAGUUGUUGCUCAAGAUUACUUCACCAUGUUGCCUCCCCUUGCAGCCAGUGCCUGCUUACAAAGAAGUUCUAGAUUCAUGGGGAAGACAACGAAGAAGCAAGAAACAACACAUUAGAAUUGAGUUGUUUUGUACACUGCUGUAUCCCCAACACCUAAAACAGUACCCAGUGCAUAAGUAGGGACUGCAUGAUUAUUUGUGGAAUGUUGUUGCAAUAAAUACUGUGAAGUAAGCUGAUUGGAUGAGAUGAUAGAGUCUCAAGGGAACCUACUUAAUUCAGAUGCAGUGGUGAGGGAGGGCCUCUCUGACAGAUAACAUUUAAGCUAAGACCUAAAGGAUGAAAACAAGAGAACCAUAAAAAGAGUGUGGAAGAGCAUUCAGGCAGAGGGACCAGUAUGGUCAGAGACUCUGAGGUCAGGGGAUCCUGGCAGAUGUGAGGAAUGGAAGGAGCCAGUGUGUGGGAGCGGGGUGUGCACAGGCAGAUGGAGAGUGAGAUGAAGCAAGUUGUGAGCAUAAGCUGGAUUAUGCAGGGUCUUGGGUCAUUAGAAUUCACUCUCAUAGGGCCGUAUAAAUGCUGUGGAAGAAGUCAAAAGGGGGCCCAUGGACCCUGAACACCAGAACCAUUCAAUCCUUUUAGAAAGACAAGGCAAGCAGA